rnacentral:rRNA from 1 species
CGCUGGCGGCGUGCCUAAUACAUGCAAGUCGAGCGGGUUAUCCUCGGGGUAAGCUAGCGGCGGACGGGUGAGUAACACGUAGGCAACCUGCCUUCAAGAUCGGGAUAACUAUCGGAAACGAUAGCUAAGACCGGAUAGCUGGUUUUCUCGCAUGAGAGAAUCAUGAAACACGGAGUAAUCUGUGGCCUGAAGAUGGGCCUGCGGCGCAUUAGCUAGUUGGUGAGGUAACGGCUCACCAAGGCGACGAUGCGUAGCCGACCUGAGAGGGUGAACGGCCACACUGGGACUGAGACACGGCCCAGACUCCUACGGGAGGCAGCAGUAGGGAAUCUUCCGCAAUGGACGCAAGUCUGACGGAGCAACGCCGCGUGAGUGAUGAAGGUUUUUCCGGAUCGUAAAGCUCUGUUGCCCUAGACGAACAGCAUCAGGAGUAACUGCCUGGUGUGUGACGGUAUAGGAGAAGAAAGCCCCGGCUAACUACGUGCCAGCCGCAGC